AUACGUAGGGGGCGAGCGUUGUCCGGAAUGAUUGGGCGUAAAGGGCGCGUAGGCGGCCCGGUAAGUCUGGAGUGAAAGUCCUGCUUUUAAGGUGGGAAUUGCUUUGGAUACUGUCGGGCUUGAGUGCAGGAGGGGUAAGUGGAAUUCCCAGUGUAGCGGUGAAAUGCGUAGAGAUUGGGAGGAACACCAGUGGCGAAGGCGACUUACUGGACUGUAACUGACGCUGAGGCGCGAAAGUGUGGGGAGCAAACAGGAUUAGAUACCCUGGUAGUCCACACUGUAAACGAUGAAUGCUAGGUGUAGGGGAUAUCGACCCCUUCUGUGCCGCAGUUAACACAAUAAGCAUUCCGCCUGGGGAGUACGGCCGCAAGGUUGAAACUCAAAUGAAUUGACGGGG
rnacentral:rRNA from 1 species